GGCUCCAACGUGCCAUUAGGGUGGAGAGACUUCCCUGUUACUCACUCCUACCACGUAUCAUUGAUGUAUGAUGCUAAAGGUGUUUCCCUGGAACACAUGGGAACCAGACUUGAGCAAGGAAGGUCAAAGUGAAAUGAAAGCAACAGUGCUCAUCUCGAGCUUUGUUCACAGUUCUGCAACAGGAGAAGCACUGUGGAGAAGGAGGCGGAUGGCUCUGUCCCAGUUCCUCAGGUCAUGCCACUUGGAAUCCCUCUUCCAGGGAAGGCUAACCAUGAAUUAGACACAAAUACUCUUCCAGAAAUGAAAUCAGAUGGCACCAUGUCUUGAAUGCAGACACCUCCUGCCAGUGAAUACACCCUCUUGCAUUGGAUGUGAGUCAGCAAUAGCUCCACAGCUGCAGCCCCAAACCAACAUCUGCAUAAAGGUAAUUGAGAAUAAAUCUAACAAAACAGCAAUUUACCUCCUGGCAUGCAUUUUUCUAACAGAUGACUUCAUGAAAAAUAGUUUGAUCCA